rnacentral:lncRNA from 1 species
AUGUUUUGGUAGAUGACUUUUGUGUUACGCUUGUUACAUAUGUGGUCCUAUGCGAUGUGGGUUAUAUUCUGGGUUGUACUACCAUUGUCUAUAUUUGUGGUUUGCCUUAUGUCGUCCGAACUUACUUAGUUUAACGGUAGUGCUAUAUUUUGGUGAUGACCCCUGUGUUGUAGAUGGCGAUGGCUGGUUUGCAGGGUCUUGUUGUGGGGAACAGAAACCCGACAGUCCGUGUGUAUGUCUCGCGACACUGGCAUCAUCGUGGGACCACUGAUAAUGGUCCUAUCAAACGCACUGACAUGGUCCUUCUGGAUACCCGGGUAUAUGACUCAUCUGGCUCCGUCCCCUGUGUUGUUUCUGGUUUUCUUCUGGCUUUUUCACUUGGUAACUGAUGUAUGUUCUUUCUUGGCAGGGCAACCACAUCUAUGCUGAGAUCGGUGAGAAUCUUGUGACCAAGUUUAUGGGUAAACUGUAAGAAGGAUGUGCAUAUGAAAUUUCACAGUUCUUGGUGUUCCUGAACAAGCGUUACUUCAAGCCAAUUGAUGCAGUACACAUGAUCAGGUUCAAUAGGUUCACCACGGCCAGUCCUAAUACCAACCCAGAGGCUCAGUUUCCAUUCUGCACCUACUCACUCACUGAACUGUCACGCCUGCCUGCCCCUCUCGAUGCACCUGAAUUCUUCACAGGUGUGUUAGCCAGACUAUCGUUGUAUUAAUGUGUUUGGUGUGUGCACCCGUAAGCUGACCUCCCUUUCCCUGGUUGUUCAGAUGUACUUGGAGUUAUCACUGGUGUCUCUGAUGUUGUUCAGUAUCAUAGCUCGAACAGGAGCGAGCCUUCCACAAAGCAUACUAUCAACAUCAAGGACCUAAGGUAUGCUACCUUUGUCUGUCAGGCGCUUGUUGUUUGUGUUGUUGCCUUGAUUGGUGUGUCAUUCUUUUCACUCUGCUUUAUUUGUAUUAUGUGCAGUGGAUACCAGAUAACUGUUGUAUUCUGGGGUGAACGUGCCACGACCUUUGAAGGAGACUACAUUAUCGAGCUAGGAAAAUCUGAACUAGUUGUUGCACUGUUUGUUGGGACUCUGGUAAAAAACUCCAUGUUCAAGAAUUCAUCCGAUUAACCAGUUAACUUGCCGAUUAAUCCCUACUCAUAGGGUCACCGAGUAGCCGAUAAACCGAAAAAUCAUCCGAUUAAUUGAUUAAAUGUCCGAUUAACUUGCCGAUUAAUCCUCUACUCACUAACCAACCGAGCAGCUACCAGUUAACGAUUUCCUCAACAAUGAAAAAACUACGAAGGUAAUUACUCUUCCUAUGUUGUCUGAAUGACUGUUAUUUUGCCCAAGUAUAUUUGUGUAACAAGCUACAUCUUUGGUUGCAUUUGUAGGUCGAAGGGGUGUGAGCGGGAGCGCGGCAUGUCGGUGGUACAUAAAUGACGACAUUUCUGAGAUGAUAGGCUUCCAUACGAGGUACAUGCUGUUUGUUUAUGCCCGUGCCUGUUAUGUGGUGUCCUUUACCUAAUUUGGUUUUAUGCUCCUGUUGUCGAUUUUGUUGCCUGCAGGCUCCAUGGCAAGUCCUCUCCCAUAGAAAAGAUUGUUCUUCAGGGACAGACGUCAGCUGAAGUGAGCGCCUAGGUUGAUCUACAGACCAAAACAGUUAGUGAACUUCUGGCCCUGCACAUCUACAAGAACCAGGUAAAUACUUUUUACCUUUCCAUGUGUCCUGGCUUCUGUAUUGGGUGGUUGCUUCGGUUUUGUUUAACUUUGUCCAUGACGUGUAUCGUGCCUCCUGUAGGACGUGCGUUUCCUUUGCUAGGUUACCUUAACUGGGUUGGCUUCCGGCCAGAGCUACUGGUUUAUGUCAUGUGCAAAGUGCCACAAAUCUGCCCAGCCAUAUAGUACUGUCUACAAGUGUGCUGGUGUAGAUUGUUCCUGCACCGAUGCAGUACCGAGGUAUCUCUCUUGCACGAGUGUGUAUUUGUUUUCAUGUGAUCUGUUCAUUAGGUGUGUACCUGAUGCAUGUUGUGAUGCAGGUAUCGGAUAUGUUUCGUAGGUGCUGACGACACAGGGGAAGCUGAGUUCGUCCUGUUUGAAAGGGCGGGAAAAGAUCUUGUUGGCAAAUCUUUGAUUACUCUGAUCCGUGAAGGAAAAUCCAACCGUGUUCCACUUGAUGAGAUAGUUCGGAUGGCACGUGGGGAUGACACUGUGCCCCGAGAAAUUACUGCACUCAUUGGACAAAGAUGUGCAUUUGUGGUGUCUAUCUCCUCAAAGAGCUUCUUACCUAACACUGAAGUGACCUCAUUCCAAGUCAAUAGGCUAGAUGUGCCCAAUGAAACAUCCGUGAGAAAUGCGGUUGUGUAUCAUAAGGCAAAUUCACCCAGGCAAUCUGAGAGUGAUACUGGUUCUCUCACUGGUGCUGGGUUAUCAACUGGUGCGCCGCUCACUGGGUCCAUUCCACCAUUAUCACUCACAGAUAGCGGGAAUGCUGACGAGAUUGUUCAUGAGGGAUCAUACUCAAAGGUAUGACUCCUAUGUCAAAAUGUACCAUUCAUGUUGAUUUGCAUUUACCCUCUAUGUGUUGUUUUGCUCAAUUGCCAUGUGUCUUCUUUUUUAUAGGAGCUUGCCACUCCUGAAGCCAAUAAGAAUCGUUCUUCACCAGCUUCUGUCAACAAAAGGUAUGAGAAUCCUUCUAGCAAAAGUGAUCCAGGACGCCGUGCAUUAACACUUUUAGAUGGAUGAUAUGACUUUGUCAAAUUUGUGACCUGCAGUGCCACUACACAUAUGGUGGCAGCAAGUGGUGUGCCUAAGUCUGGGCUGCGUAAACCUCUGUUUUCCGAUGGUCGUGCUCAGGUACAUCCUUUCAUUUGCUUGGCGGAACUUCAUUUAGAUCUCUCUACGUACUUGCUUGGUAGUCGGUUGACACGAUGUAUCUGUUUAUGCCUUCUAGGGGCCUGCAAAGAUGGUUGGCGGCUCCGCUGUUCUCGGUGAUGAGCUUGCUGCUGCCUCAAGGUAUAUGUCUGGUCUGAAACAAUUGCUUAGCAGUAUAUGCAUAAUUCUUGCCUUCUUUUACAUACUGGCUAUUUGUUGUUGAAGCAGAUCAACCGAAGGCCUGGUGGAAGAUGAAGACGAGGCUUCUGCGGCCAAAAGGGCCAAGCUGUAGAUCAGCCGCCCUUAGGCAGGAAGUUCUUUUG